UUGCCUCUCACACAUGUGUCAACCAGGGGCCAGGCCUGCAACCCAAGCACGUGCCCUGACUGGGAAUCAAACUGGUGACCUUUUUUGCUUUGUGGGACGGUGCUCAACCAACUGAGCCACGGUGAUUAGGGCUCCACAUUUUCUUUACAGCUCUUAUCACUCUCUGAAAUGAGCUAGUUUAUUACGUUUUGUUUCUCCACAAGAAUGUAGACCCCACAUGGGCAAGGAUCUUGUCACCACAGUGUUCCCAGGGGUUGGGACAGUACCUGGGAUAUUUUAGGCACAUGGCAAAUAUUUGUUGAGUGUGUUAAUGAUUUACAUUUAGAGAUGAUUGGUUAGGCAUUUACUGGUCAUUUACAUGUUGAUAGCAAUGUAAGAAUAAUUUCUUUUAGAAACAUUUAACUGGCCUCUACCGGGGGCCAGGUACUAGGGAUUAAAGCUGAACCAUAUCCUGUCCACAGAGUGUUCCUUGACAAAUAUGAAUUAAAAUAUAGGAUGAUAAGGUUUAUAACAGUAUGUGAUACAACAAAGAGUAUGUGCUUGAAUCAGACAGGAAUGAUUAAAUGUGUGUGUGUGUGGAUGUGUGUAUGGUUGGGUGGUGGAGAGUCAAGAAUAGUUAAUAUUUAUAUUAAAAAGGGUCUGAUCUCAGUAGCACAAUAUUGGUCAAAGUUUCAGAACAGUAUGUAUACUUUUAUGUUUAAUAGACAGUAACAUAAAACAUUGUAUAUUUUCUGUGGGUACAUAUAUAGAAAUAUACAGGGUCCAACACAAAUAACACCCCUUUUUUACUACAAAAUUAUAAGCAUGUAACUCUGUAACAUAGCAGUAUCACACU